rnacentral:rRNA from 1 species
AGAGUUUGAUCCUGGCUCAGAGUGAACGCUGGCGGCAGGCCUAACACAUGCAAGUCGAACGGCAGCACAGCAGUAGCAAUACUGUGGGUGGCGAGUGGCGGACGGGUGAGGAAUACAUGGGAAUCUGCCCUGUCGUGGGGGAUAACGUAGGGAAACUUACGCUAAUACCGCAUACGACCGGAAGGUGAAAGCGGCGGACUCGCAAGAGCGUCGCGCGACUGGAUGAGCCCAUGUCGGAUUAGCUAGUUGGCGGGGUAAAGGCCCACCAAGGCGACGAUCCGUAGCUGGUCUGAGAGGAUGAUCAGCCACACUGGAACUGAGACACGGUCCAGACUCCUACGGGAGGCAGCAGUGGGGAAUAUUGGACAAUGGGCGCAAGCCUGAUCCAGCCAUGCCGCGUGAGUGAAGAAGGCCUUCGGGUUGUAAAGCUCUUUUGUCCGGAAAGAAAAGCUGCCGGUUAAUACCCGGUGGUUAUGACGGUACCGGAAGAAUAAGCACCGGCUAACUUCGUGCCAGCAGCCGCGGUAAUUC